rnacentral:rRNA from 1 species
UACGAAGGGGGCUAGCGUUGUUCGGAAUUACUGGGCGUAAAGCGCACGUAGGCGAACUAUUAAGUCAGGGGUGAAAUCCCGGGGCUCAACCCCGGAACUGCCUUUGAUACUGGUAGUCUCGAGUCCGGAAGAGGUGAGUGGAAUUCCGAGUGUAGAGGUGAAAUUCGUAGAUAUUCGGAGGAACACCAGUGGCGAAGGCGGCUCACUGGUCCGGUACUGACGCUGAGGUGCGAAAGCGUGGGGAGCAAACAGG